CCUACGGGGGUCAGCAGUGAGGAAUAUUGGUCAAUGGGCGUAAGCCUGAACCAGCCAAGUCGCGUGAGGGAUGAAGGUUCUAUGGAUCGUAAACCUCUUUUAUAAGGGAAUAGAGUGUGGGACGUGUCCUAUUUUGUAUGUACCUUAUGAAUAAGGAUCGGCUAACUCCGUGCCAGAAGCCGCGGUAAUACGGAGGAUCCGAGCGUUAUCCGGAUUUAUUGGGUUUAAAGGGUGCGUAGGCGGGCUUGUAAGUCAGCGGUGAAAGUCGGUGGCUCAACCAUAGAAUUGCCGUUGAAACUGGGGGGCUUGAGUAUGUUUGAGGCAGGCGGAAUGCGUGGUGUAGCGGUGAAAUGCUUAGAUAUCACGCAGAACCCCGAUUGCGAAGGCAGCCUGCCAAGCCAUGACUGACGCUGAUGCACGAAAGCGUGGGGAUCAAACAGGAUUAGAUACCCUGGUAGUC
rnacentral:rRNA from 1 species